AGCGAACGCUGGCGGCAGGCUUAACACAUGCAAGUCGAACGCAUCCUUCGGGGUGAGUGGCAGACGGGUGAGUAACACGUGGGAACAUACCUUUUGGUUCGGAAUAACUCAUGGAAACGUGAGCUAAUACCGGAUACGCCCUUUUGGGGAAAGAUUUAUUGCCGAAAGAUUGGCCCGCGUCUGAUUAGCUAGUUGGUGAGGUAAUGGCUCACCAAGGCGACGAUCAGUAGCUGGUCUGAGAGGAUGAUCAGCCACACUGGGACUGAGACACGGCCCAGACUCCUACGGGAGGCAGCAGUGGGGAAUAUUGGACAAUGGGCGCAAGCCUGAUCCAGCCAUGCCGCGUGAGUGAUGAAGGCCUUAGGGUUGUAAAGCUCUUUUAUCCGGGAAGAUAAUGACUGUACCGGAAGAAUAAGCCCCGGCUAACUUCGUGCCAGCAGCCGCCGCCG
rnacentral:rRNA from 1 species